UACGUAGGGGGCAAGCGUUGUCCGGAAUCAUUGGGCGUAAAGAGCGUGUAGGCGGCCCGAUAAGUCGGCUGUGAAAGUCCAGGGCUCAACCCUGGGAUGCCGGUCGAUACUGCCGGACUAGAGUUCGGAAGAGGCGAGUGGAAUUCCCGGUGUAGCGGUGAAAUGCGCAGAUAUCGGGAGGAACACCUAUGGCGAAGGCAGCUCGCUGGGACGUUACUGACGCUGAGUGAGCGAAAGCCAGGGGAGCAAACGGG
rnacentral:rRNA from 1 species